GCAUGUGGUUUUCUGUGAGGACCAGCCCACUGUGGGUCCCAGGGCAGGUAACAGAGUCUUCUGCCGCAAUACCUCUGUGAAAAGGAGUCACAGUGUCAUACAACAAAGAGCAUCUAUUCCUUUCUCGUGGGUCUACAGCUCAGAUGCAACUCACCUAGCUAAGCUCACUGCUGGAAUUUGGACUAGAGGCUCCAGGAUGCCAAUCCAGUCCCAGGCUAAUCCAUGUGUGUUCUCAACCUCAGAGGACCACUGCCAUCUUGGAACAUCUUUCCGUGGCAGUUUAUAUGGAUGGAAGGUGGUUGGCUGGACAGGACAUGCGUGCGAGUUUAAAAUGUUCUUUAUUCCAUUCCAUUGCUUCAACAGUCUGCAUGACCAAAUCCAGCACCAACAGGGCAGAACUGGAGUUAGUCUAAUCCAGUCUUUUUUGGUGAGCACCGAUCCACGGCGGAAAAAGGAUUUCGAGCAGCGGGAGAGGGAGCAUCUCCAGGAAACCAAAGCUGGAGGUAUAGGGGCGAGAAGUCUGAAAUCAAGGUGUUAGCAAGACCACUCUCUCCCUGGAGUCUCUACAGGGGCAGAGCUCCUUGUCUGUUUGAGUCCUCGGAGGCUCCUGGUGUUUGUGGCUCACAGCGCCCCAGUCCCUGCCUCUGUCUUCACAUGACCUUCUCUCUGUGGCUGUUUUUUUAUGAAGAGAUUUUCAUUGACUUUAGGGUAAUGUAGUAUGAUCUAUCUCCAUCCUUUUUGUAAUGACAUGCACAAAGACCCUAUUUCCAAAUGAGGUUGUAUUCUGAGGUUCUGGGCGGACAUGAGUUGGGGGGAGCACGGUGAAACCCACUGGGAUCAUGUAUAUGCAAGGUCAUCAAAUCAUCCCUUCCACUCAAGACAAAAAUGACAAAAACAGAGAAGGAUGAAGACGAAAAGAACUGUUUGAGAAAAGUGGUUUUCCCCCCGCUCUUCACGAUGAGGUGAUGUACGUCAACGGGCACGUUGGAAUGUCUGAGCUGAGAUCAGGUCUGGUUAUGCUGGGUUGCAAAUGUCACUCUUGGCUCACAAGUCACUGUGCUCUGCCAGCCGCCGCUCCGCCUCCCGUCCUGUUUCACGUGCUCAUCACGGUAGGUGACGCCCACACCACAAGCCUUAGACCUGCAUUGCCUUGGCAUUGGUCUCACUGAAGGAAAAAAAGAGGGAAAAGGAUUUUGUGAGAUUUCCGCCUUCUUCCCUCACCCGCUGAUGAUUUGCUUUCCAGCAGAUGGAAGCCCCCUGCCCCAUGGAUAAAUCUGUAAGCACCUGCAUAAAGUAACCCUUCAGGUACUCAAGUAUGAACACAGACAAGUUGGCAUCCAGUGUCCUUGCAACUCAUCUGCUCGGAUAAAACAAACUUCAGCUACAGGCCAAAUACUGCAGGUUGUUUCAGGAAUCACCCUGCUCUGGGAUGCCUGGGUGGCUCAGUUGGUUAAGCGUCUGCCUUCGGCUCAGGUCGUGAUCCCAGAGUCCUGGGAUCGAGUCCCGCACUGGGCUCCCUCCUCGGCGGGGAGCCUGCUUCUCCCUCUGCCUGCCGCUCCCCCUGCUUGUGUGCUCUCUCUCUCUGACAAAUAAAUCAAUAAAAUCUUAAAAAAAAAAAAAAAGAAAUCAACCUGCUCUUCUUAGUAUGUGACCUUGUACAUUUGUAUUCUCCUAAUGUGUCCCCCUUAAUUAUUGUGUGAUUAUUAUCAGGACAAAAAAAACCUCAUGAUUUUUCACACAGCAUUUUUAUACUCCUUUAAGAUGAAAUAUUUUAAUUGCCUCUGACAUUUUAGUUGGGAUCUUUAUAAUAUCAAUGUGACUAAGAGGAAAUCAUAUUCCGUGCGUAUGGCUUUAAUGACUGAGAGAAAUAAUAAAUUUCUCCCCACAGAAUGAGGAGUCACUGUAAGCAAGGCAUGAUGGAGUGGAAUUCUAAUCAGGAAUAAAGAGAGAAGCGGAGAGGAAAGGGAGGCCAGACGUCUUGCAUUUUUCUGCAGGACGACUGGAGCUAGGGGUCCAAGUAUUUGUGGUCCGGCUGGAAGAGCUGCUUUGUUUCUGGAAAGAAGCGUCGCUGUGGGCUGGGGGACAGAGGGCUGUUGCCUUGCACGUCUCAGGAAAUGCACCCAAACUAGCAGAGCGGCAGCGACAGACUGAUAAAUUGUCAGGACGGUUGAAUCCUGCCGAUUAAUUGUCUGUGGCACCAAACUCUUAAAACAGCAUCACUAGCAUAUUUACAGAACUUGCCGAUCUCCUCCUUGCAAACUCCAACGCUUCUGUCCAUCUGCGCUCUGUGAUAAGACCCCAUAUUAAAGCCAAAUAGACAUGCUAUUUUCCCCUCUUCCCUUCCAGCUGGGAUCAUCACAGGACUCCUAGUCUUAUGUCAACACUUGAAUCAACAGCUUUAUCUGGUCAGGAGGGAAGCACAACAAGAAUUACAUUUGGAACAAUAGGCAAAGCAAUGAUUCAUACUUAGUGAUUAUAAUGAAGUUCUUAGGCGAAGAGCUAGUCAAUCUAAGCAUACAGGAAAAAGUGAAAGGCAAUUAGGAGCUGGCAUCUGUGUGGAACGACUUCGUUUUCUUUUUUUUUUUAAAGAUUUUUUUUUUUUUUUUUUAUUCAUGAGAGACAGAGCGAGAGAGAAAGGCAGAGGGAGAAGCAGGCUCCCAAGGAGCAGGGAGCCCGAUGCGGGACUCGAUCCCAGGACCCUGAGAUCAUGACCUGAGCCGAAGGCAGACGCUUAACCAUCUGAGCCACCCAGGCGCCCACGACUUCAUUUUCUGAGGGAGAGAUGUCCUCCUUCGAUAGGAAAUAGAAGAGCUUCCCCUUCACCCACGCUGAUGUAGAAAUACAUGACAGGAGCAUUUCGAACAAACCCAUGCUGUAAGACAGUCACCAUACACACUGUUUUGAUGAUGUAAUCGUUCCUACAACCUGUAUUGGCCAGAGCUGGGCUUCACGUGGCAUCACCUGCACAAAGAGUGACUGGACACAUGGCCGUAAAUGGAAGCUCUGCGAAGGUACAGGUCAAGCUGAUGGAAGCACGCAAGAUGUGGAAGCGUGCGGAAGCUGGAAGCUGCAACAAGUUAUUACCACCCUGCCAAUGGGGCAUUUUCAACUGGUUUAUAAAAUAUAGCAGCCGGGUCCUCCACCACCUCCGUCCUUCCCUUGGUUCCUGGAUCUGUUCAUUUCAGGUGGGAGAGAGGUGGCACCACACACAACCCGCUGGUUCCGAGUGGGGACGGCUCGCUAGUGGGACAGCGCCUAAAUCAUGAAGGUGCUCUCUCCCAGCUGGUGACACGGCUGAGUCUUCAGCAGGGCUUUCCACCGGUCAUGACGCUAAGGGGUGGAGCAUGUGCUAAGACCACUGAAUGUAUGUUGGUCUCUCUUUUUAUUUGUGUCUUUACACUUGAGUGUCUGGGUUGGUUGGGAAAUUCUGCUGCUUUAGGGUGAUCUCAGCUGGCUGGGCUCAUUCCUCUGUGCUCAGCUCCUGUGGGGGACUGGGAGCUGCUGCUUCUCCCGCACACGUCUCAGCCUCCAGGGGCCAGUGGGCAUGCAUGCGCUUCUAACAGUGCUUGGGUUCCAAGGAAGAGCAUGGAGGCCCACAAGCACUUUUUCAAGCCCCUUCUUGCCACACACUUGCUGCUAUCCCACAGGCAAAAACAGGUGCAGUGGCCGAGCCCAGAGCCCGUUGGGGGAGAGCAACGCACACAGGUGUGGGGAGAUACGGAAAACUAACUCUCAGCGCAACCUGCCAUGGGUGUGCUGGCCUCAGAAAUGAGCCUGGAAAUAUCCCUUUUUAAUAUAUUCUCUGGGUGAGUUUCCUGUGCACAGUUAUCACCUAUUUCCUCAAUGCUGGGAAGAGUCUGUAAAUGAUGCUGUUUAAGUCUGGGGCUUUCUUCUCUGGAAUGUUUUCAAUUACAUUUAAUUAAGAAAUCAAUUCAUUUCAUAGA